UUGAGAGGAGUAAAAUCUAUUCAGGACUUCACUUAACUGAUAUCCUGGGCUGGGUAUCUUUGGCCCUGAAUUGUCAAUGCUAGGGUUCUUCUCAAUUAAGAACUCUAGUAACUUUCUUUUCGUAUCGUUAUUAGUAGCAUGAUUUAAUAUCUUAAGAAUUUCUUCUUGACUAUUAGUCAGUUCCAAUAGUCUUGUUGCAAUUUGAUUUAUUACAACAGCAGAUGUCUGAAUCAGAAUUUGACUCAGAGGAAGAACUUGAGGAGAUGAUGUUUAUCUCAUCAUCUGAUGCGGAACUAUUAUUAGUUCUUUCUUGAUCUUCUAAUGAAGAGUUUAGCAUUAAUUUUGCUAAUUGAUCUUUUAAAUGAUCAUCAAUCUUUAAUUGAUUGAUUUUAUCUCUUAAUUUGCAAUCAGUUGCAAAAUGACCAAAUCUCCCACACCUAAAACAUUUAAUUUCAUUUUUAGGUCUUUUCUCUCAAGGAGGGAGUUUUUCCUUACGCUUCUUUCUUCGAGUUUUAUACCACUUAUCAUUAUGUGGUUUUCUUCUAACAUGUUUUUUCUUCUUUUUUAUUGGAUUUUCUUGGCCGCCCAUGUCAUAGGCAAAUUGGUCACAAAAUUCUCCUAAUUAAUAUUUUUCUGUGAGCUUUUGCUUCUUAGGCUUUUUUUUUAGCUUUAAAUCAUUGCAUAAAGCUAAUCCUUGUUGGACACAAACAUUUAUUAAUUGUCCAUAGGUGUAAUUUUGAUAGUCAAUAGAAGUUUCAUUAUAUCUAUCUCUUAGAAUCUUCUUGAUUCUUUCUGCAAAUAAAUGAGGUAGACCUUCUACAAAUUUGGUCUUCCAUCUUUCUGAAUUAGAGUCUGUAAGUUGCAUGACUCUGCUAAGGAAAGUAUCUUUAUACCAUCUAAAAUGGGUCAAAGUUGGACAUUUUAAGUUGAUUAAUAAUGAUUUGAUGCUAUCGGUCACUGAUAUUUCAUGACCUAACCAAUUUUGUACUAUUGCAAGGCCUAGUGUAUACACUGCAUCUUGCUUAGUAGUAGCCACACUACUGGUUCCUGCCUGAUUUGGCUCGAUUUUUAUUAUUUUUUGAUGACUUAAAAUUUCGUUCUUUGGUCAUUGGUGAGAUAAUUUUGCCACCAUCCUCUUAGUUGUCCCACAAAUCCAGUUACCAUAAACUGAACAAUUUGAUGAUCUGUGUUACCAUUUAUUUGGCAAACAGUUGCAUACAUCAUCAUUUUGUGUAUGAUAUCUAUUAUCUGUUUGUCAUUCAUUCCAUCUAUGUUCCAUUCAUAGAUGUGUCUUCCUGAAUAGGAAUUCUGAAAAUGAGGCUGAUUUUCUUCAAUUAGAGCAUCUGCCGGUGUUGGCCAAUUAUAAUAAUAAUGGUCCAACCUUGCUGGUUCAUAUUUAACCUGAUUAAUUUCUGAUAAUUCAUCUAGAUUAUUAAUCUUAAAACAUUUUAAUUAUUGUUCUAAUUUUUCUAGACUUGAAUCAUUACUCAGAUCAACAUUUUGUUGGAAAACUUCUUCCAAUUUACUAGACUCAGAAUCAUCCAUUUGAUUCUCCUUUAUUGUUCCAAUAUGUAAUUUUUUCAACCUGUCUUCUAGUAAUUCUAGAAAUUCAGAGUUUUGGUUUUGUAAUUUAAAACCUUCUACCUUAAUUGGUGGUUGUAUCAUUGGAAGUUCUAUUACUUCCUGUUUUUCUUCUAUUUUUAUUCCCUUAAGUUUUCUCAAGGUUUGAAUUUCUUUCUUAAAGAAAUUAUGCAUUUUUAUCAAUUUUUUGUUCCAAUUCCAUUAAUUGGCUUCUUACACAUACUAAAUAUGUGUUUGUAUAAUUUUGAGCUUUAAUUAAGUCAUUUAGCUCCUUAACUCUUACAUAUUCCAUGCUUGUUUUAUUCAAGCUCAAAUAAGCAGUGGCUUCAGUCGAAUCUAAUUUGAUUGACUGUUGUGGAGGGAAUGGUGAAGUUAUUACUUCAUUUUGUACUAUCAUCCAUGUUCUUUGGAUUGCAGUUAAUUUCCUUUUACCAUGUCAGACUUUUAUCAUUGGAAAUGGUACGUCCAUGUGAGCUUGAAUCACCUGAUGACUGCAACAAUUCCAUAGCAAAGAUGCUCAAGGGAUGCUUGUACUUGGAGGUGAAAAUUUAUAAAUACAAGAUUCCAAAUUUUCAGUUUCCUUUCACAUAUUGUUUGAAACAGAAAGUGAUGAGUUAAAUUCAUAUAUUUCAAUUUGUUUCCGCUGCUUUGCAGUCUCUGUCUAUAAAGUUCCAUGUCCAAUAUGAUGGCCCAAGUGAUCUUGAAUUCAUCCAGCUCAUCCUUCCGAAAACCAUUAGAGUUCUGCUGUUGCAGCCUAUAUCUGAUUGGCAAGCCAAGCUGCUUGUCCUUAAAGCUGGAGCUGAUAGGAAUUCAACCGCGUCGUUAGCUGGUGCUGGCAGUUCCUUUCUAAGGCCCAAUAGUAAUGGACUGCAGUCGCUAUCUCUUGUUUUAAAUAAAAUAAAAGAUGAACUUCUUAUAGCUAUUGCAAGCAGUCUUCCUCAAUUGGUUGGGCUGUGUCUUGAAGAUAAACCACUGGAGGAGCCUUCUUUGCACAAUGACUUGACCAACAGAGGGCUUCAGUCUCUAGGCUCCUGUAGAAAUUUGACUAGCCUUUCGCUUACACGGAGUAGACAAAAUUACCCAGCCACUUUCAGAAGGGUGAAUGAUGUUGGUAUUCUCCUCCUAUCUGAGGGAUGUAGAAGACUUGAAUCAGUAAGACUUGGUGGAUUUUCUCGAGUGACCGAUGCAGGCUAUGUAUCUUUUCUUCACUCCUGCAAGAACUUGAAAAGGUUUGAGGUCGUCAAUGCUUUUUUCUUGUCAGAUUUGGCAUUUCACAAUCUUGCUGAUGCCACAAACUCCCUUGUUGAAGUGAGAUUGUUGUCCUGCAAUCUUGUAACCAGUGAAACUGCAGAAUCUCUAUCCUUAUGCAGAAAUUUGGAGGUUCUGGACCUUUCAGGAUGCAAAAGCACUGCAGAUGUUGGGCUCAUUUCAAUUUCAAAACUUUGUAAAUUGACUACAUUGGAUCUUGGUGGAGCUGAUAUUACUGACAGUGGUUUAGCAGCCCUUGGUCAUGGGAGUUGCCCGAUUGCUUCUUUAUGUCUAAGGGGCUGCAAAAGGAUCACAGAUAGAGGGAUAGCGCUUUUGUUGUAUCAGGAUGGCAUUAUUAGGAGAACUUUAUCAACUCUUGAUCUGGGUUACCUGCCUGGAUUGUCAGAUAAAGGUAUGUCUACUAUUGCUGAGGUCUGUAGAGAAAUCACCAACCUCAGCAUCCGGAGUUGUUUCUAUGUCACUGAUGCUUCUAUAACAGUGCUGGGUUCAAUGGAAGCAUUUGAGGGCAAAAGAAGACCACUUCGAAAGCUUGAUCUCUAUAGCUGUAGUGGGUUGUCAAACGCUUCUUUUUGGCUACUUGCCCCUCCUUUCUUCCGUGGCCUACGCUGGCUUGGUGUGGGAAACACUAGGUUGCUGGCUAAAAGCAAAGACAGAUUUGUGGAACUUUCAAGAGAUCGACCGGUCCUCACAAUUUGUGCAAAUGGCUGUGAGAUGGGUUGCAAGGAUGGAUGGCAGUGCCAUGAAUUUAUCUGACAAUAUAAAUUUGGUAUUGACCCUUUGUGUGUAAGUUCAAGAAGUACAGCAGAGAUGAAGAUGAUGGAUGGCUAUUUUAUGGACUCUUUGCAUCUGAAAAUAUGGUGUUUUCCAUGCCAGACCUAAAGAGUGCUGCUGAUGUUGAAAAGUUCCUUUGGACAUGAAGCAUUGACAAUUGUAGCAACUUGCAUUUCCUACAUCAAGAACAGGAUUUGAUAUAUCUCUCUCGUCUCCUUUUAUAUCUUGGGAAGCAGGAAGAGAAUGGACUAUAGCAAGGUCCAGUUUAGAAGGCUAAAUCAUCUUGGAGUCAUUCAGGACCAGACUCUUUUCUCGAAGUAUGAAGUUGAUGCUACAAUGGUGCUUCCAUGCCUGGUAUCGAGGUUCAGAAAAAGGAAGUAGUUAUCUUUUCUUUUUUCUUCUUCUCUGAUGGCAGUUGAUUAUUAACUAAGACCUCCCAUGAUGAUUUUCAUCCCAGAUGAAAAAGGUGGAGCAUUCGAGAUUAGGCUGAGGGAUGGUUACCGAAAAAGAACCAUGACUAGAAUAGACCUAUUCCAACUGCCAUUGCAAAGCAGGCUUCUAUCAGUUUUGUGCUUGUGGCCACUUGAGAAAAGGUUUUUGUGCUUGAAUUAAUGAAUUUUUUCUAUGCUCGAUAUGAACUAGUGUCUGUUUAAGCUUCACUUAGUAUUACAAGACAUGAAACUUUUUAUCGAAAAGAAACCCCGACUGAAUUUAACCCAAGAAUUUAGAGAAGCUAACUUUGCUACCAUUCUACUUAUGCUGAGGGUCUCAUUUUCAUAUUAAUGUGUCUUAUAGGGAAAGAUUUUAUAGUGGUAUCUCUUUACAAAAUGAUCCAGACUAUUCAUCUCCUCUCUUGAUCUGCAACGGUUUUUCAGUUUUAGCGCACCUCAUCUGAUAUAUACAGUUUAUAGAUUCUUUGAUAUGGUACAAGGUACUCUUUUUGUAUAAAAAGGUCAGUAUGUGACCCAAUUUCACCCACAUCUCUAGAACAAUAGCAUUCAUCUGUUAUAAAAAAAAUUUACAAUGCAAGAAAGAAUUAAAAUUUAGACCGAAGGACUUGCCCUAAGUGAAGUUGUUUUAGCCUAAUUAUGAGCUAAGUUAUUGCUAUUAAAAGGGGACACAUUAACGAGCAUGGCACGUGUUUGUUGAUGAUAGCUUUAGGCCAAGUAGAUCAUGUAAAAUCUAUUGGCCGUAUGAGCUAUGGUUGGGGAUAUUGAGCCGCCUAUCUCCUUUUUUUUGCUGAUAAUUUGGUCCGUAAAGCAAUAGCUCAAACAGGUUCAGCUUCCGUUGCUACUUGGAUUGCACAAAAGCAGGUUUAGCCACUACUGGUUCAUGCGGCACUACGAUAGCACAAAGCAUAGGAGACCACAAUUGCGAACAGUAGGAUUUGGAUUGUAUUUUUCAAAAUAAAUGCUAUUCCAGUGGGUGCCGUCAUUGCAAAGGUAUAAAUAUGCUGCUGGUCUAAGCGAGACUGAAUGGAAGGAUGGUACUCAUGACCCACACUAGAAGCGUCUUGGAGGUCACCCCCCCCUAUCUAAAGAUGAAUUUCAAUUGUAGUGGCCCAAGAGCUAGCAAUAGGAGCGUUGUGGGUUUUGUAACCAGAGUCCACGAUUCACAGUUGAUUGUUGCUGAUGGACGGCGGACUGACGGACCUUCAGUUAUAGAAGCGGAGCUCAGGGCAGCAUGAAAAAAAAUCUCCUAUGCAAGACAGAAGUUAAAGACUGAGCACAUCAUUCUAGAAAAAGACUCGGCUAUAGCGAUCGAUUGAAUACGGGAGAAAGAAUGGAGGGGUAAGAGUAGUCCCCUACUUUGUGAUAUCGGCUCAUGCUGAGAGAUUGCACCGCCUUCUAAAUAGCGCAUAUAUACUGGAAGGCGAACAGGGCUGCAGACUAGAUUGCAUCCUAUGCUGCGCAACACUCUGAAGAGGUGCUUUGGCCACACCAAAGGGCCCCUCCCUCUCGCCUGAGCCACGUCCUAGUCUUUGAUUCUGUUGGCCGGUCCUGCACUAGAGUAGGGUGAGCAGCCAUUGUACAAAAAAGAAGAAGAAGCCGCCGCCGCCGCCGCCGCCGAGCAAACAUCAACCCAUGACAGCACUUGGUUGAUUUGACCAAUAAGUUCAUCAUCCAUCAUUACUAGCCUUCUAAUGUAUACUCAGAAUCCCAAUAUGUGCUCCACAAAUAGCAAAUGAUUACUUGAUGUCCAUGGCACACGCAUUGCAUGUACGAGGAGCUAUGGAGAUAAACAAACACACGACAAAUUCCAUUCUCAUUUCUUAAAACUUCAAUACCACCUGUUGAGAAGAACAAAGGGAAUUCGAGUUUGCAAAACAUUCUGAAAUCUAGAAUGCAUGACCCAAACCAUGCGAUAGAUCUUUGAUGCACAAACAAAUUUCAAAAACAAGGUUAAAAACUUUACCCUCCUAUCUGGAGGCAUCAACAGCAAAAAUGAGAAGUUACAAAAAGUAUGAAGCACAUGAUCACCCCUUCUAUAACUGAGAAGAAAAUUUAACUCUAGAACCAACUAAUGAAGGAAAAACUUCGAGACAGAAUGCCAGUAAAACAAGCACACCAGCUAUAUGAAAGCAGUCCGGCCUCCCCUUCUACUCUGCCUGUCAUAGGUUGUGUUGAAUUUAUCAACCAGCUCAUUCAUGGUACUGCAGAGUUCAAGAACAAGUUGUUAUCACAUGCCUGAAAUAACUUGACAACAGCCCCAGAUCUAUAAAUUUCCAUGUCUAUCAAACAAAUGCAAAAGAAUAAAAUCUCACAAGACAAUAGGCUUUCAGAUUUCAUUGGAACAAAUAUAUGCAUAUGUUAAUUUUACUGGCAGUGGCAGAGAAGCAAGCAGACAGUCACUUUAGUUCCCAUAUGGGCCUCUUAAAAAAGAAUUUGUACACAAAUAAACGAGCAUCUUAUUAACUGUAGGGUGGGGAUCACGGAUCAAAAUUUCAAGGGACCACUUGGAUGCACAUUUCUUGCAACCAAAUAUGUCCUUAGGUUGACGCAAAACUGCCAUGUACCCAUUUCAAGAUCCUCUGUGCUACUAUUUAAUAGAUCAUCUAGUGCAAAUAUAAAAUGGCAUUGCUGUCUUCACCCUCCCUCUCUCUUCUCUAAUUUAUGUGAUCCUACUUAAUGGAGGACACGAUUGCAUUACAAAAGGGCGACUCAAAAUCUAAGUCUUCCAUUUAUGUAAACUCUUAACCAUUUUCUCUUUCUUUACAAGUAAAAGAGACUUUUUGCAUACCUUGAACAGUUUGUGAACAUCGCUAGGUAGGUCAUGAGAAGUGUGUCGUUAAAUUCCUGUAGAUGAAAAAUCAAUAUGGUUACUGAAUUACUGAUGGAUAAUAAGAAGAUAGCAUCUGGAAAAGAAAUAUGAACUUAUAUUGCUUGAAACCAAUAGUACUGUCAUAAUCAUGAUCUUAUAUGCAAAAAGUAGGAUUUAUGCCAAAGUAGCCCAGCUUAGUGGAAUAGAAGUCUAAUGCAUCAAAACAAGCAAAUGCACAAAGCAAAGUUGGCAUGCCUCAAUCUGUUCAAUACAUACCAUCAGAAAAUCAUCUUGGAACUUCUCUGAUUCCAUGGCUGGCAAUCUUCUCAGAAGGCUCGAGACUUGUCUAAGCAAUGAAUUGUCAAGAGGAAUAUCACCUGCAUGUUUUAUAAUUAUGAGCAUUCUUGUAAAUUCAAGGAAACACACCAUCAACAACAAUUAAAAGUUACAGCACAGUAAGUAGAAAGAAGUGCAAAAGGAAUUCUGAUUAUUUUCAAUCUUUUUUUCCAUGCUCUAAAGUUGCAAGAUUUCAAUGUUUCACACUAAAGCCAUUCACCAGUUUUCAAUGUUUCACACUAAAGCCAUUCAUCACAAAAAUAAAUAAGACUGGAUUCUACUAUUCAGGACAUAGUGGCAAGAAGUGCACUUUAAUGCAAAAAACAGCAUUCAGCAUAAAGAUUUUGUAAAAAUGGAAUGCAAUGGAAAGGAUACAAAAGAAAAUUGAUGUAAACUCGAAGCAGCAUGGCAUAAAGAACCUCCACCAAGUAUUAUAAGAACGAAAAUGCUUUGAUGCUAACACACAUGAAGAGUUCCUUGGGCCAACUAAAAACUGGCCUGGCAACUCCAUAUUCAAACCACCCUCCCCCCGUGUGUUGCACCAAUUCCCAUGAGUCACGCCAAUCCCAUCCUGCCAUGUUUGGCAGGAGGCCCUUUCGCAUGCAUGAAACAGGCACCCCCUAGCAUUACUCCAAUGGAAAUUGUCCAUGAAACUCACAAAUGAAAUUGAAAAUAAUGCAAUAUUUAAGAAGUCUGAAAGGUGAUUUCAAGUCAUAAAAAUGUACCUCUCUGCAUUGCUUGCAGAUAUUGAUGAACAACUCUAAUUCUGCUAUUUAGCAUUUUGAUGGCACUAUGCAUGCCAGUCAGAUGGGCAGCCACUGCUCACAUAAUACAUUUAUAAAUACAAAAGAAAAGACAAUAGAAAAUAUAAAAUGAAAUAAUAAAUUCAGUUGAAGAAAGAAACCUCACAUUGUGUUGCAGCCGAGCCACCAUCAGAUGGCUUAAGAUGAGCUACAUGAUCAACUGAAAUUCGCUCGGCCUCUACUGUCUUAAUUUUGGGAGAAAAAUGUCAAUUUUGAUAAACGUUUGCUGCCUCACCUAGAUAGCAAUGUAAGUAAAUGGAAAGAAAAAGACCAACCUCAAUGGUGUAGUUUGAUCUAACAAAUAUGAGCUGAGGAAUUCCAUCAAUGACGUGCAACUCUUGAAAGUAAUGACAUAUUUCCAGAAUAGAAGGCCAAUUGUCAGUAAAAUUCCAGAAUUAAAUACUUUUGAAACUAAGAAAAAUAAAUAGAGAGAAUCCAAAUCAUAAUAAUUAUUUCCUUGCUGCAAUCAAAUCAGUUUUAUUAGGUGGCACAAAUGAUAUAGAUUAUUAUGCAGGUCAGUGUAUCAAAUUAAAACCAUAGAACACAAUUAAAUUAAAGUUUCAAUGAUAUAGAUUGACCAAACCAGAUUGAGGGAACUAAGGACCAACUUAAAACACAGUUAAGAUGCAGCCUGCUAACAAGAUGUGAAGUUAAUCUACCUGUUUCAUCAUGGGAAGAUCAUUUUCCAGUGAAAGAUCAAGGAAACCAUAUUAGCUUCACUAUUUCCACUAUAUGGAUUUCUGGUAAGAUGUCUAUGUUUGAGUUCAACAAGAUACUGUAAAUUAUAGCGUCUUGUUUUUAAGCAAGUUGUCAUGCCAAUAUUUUAGAAUGUCAUAGGCCUCAAAACUGUUAUAUGGCAGUUUAAUCUGCAUAGGCUUUAUGUAAGAGAUUUCCACUUCGAAUCUACUGGGUAAGGUGACUUCUGAUUUUAAAUAAGGUAGUAUGAGUUAAAACUUGAGCCAUGUGUGGCAUGCUUUCUGGGAAAGAGGUUUAAAUCCAGAAGAGCACUUCGGAAUCACUGAUAUAAAAACCAUCAUUUUGAAAAAGAAAUCUCAAGCACUUCAUCAAUGGUUUUGGUACACGUCCGGUAAACUGAAUAAGUCACAACUAAUAUAAUGCAUUAAUGCAAUUUACAAGAUUAAGAAGUUGGAAUGUGUUAUUUAUAAAACUUAGAUAACAACAGGAAAGAGGUCGAUUUACCAGACCCCCACGCAAAAUGAGAAACAAGGUGGUAUCAAACUGAAGUUUAAACAAGGAAUCAAACUUUGAUUUUGCCAAAGAAAUCUAAAAUGCACUUUUAUUAGGGAAGAAAGAAUGUGUUACCUUGGAUAUAUGCAUUGAAUAGCACCAUGAUCUAAGGUAUAUAUAAAAAGACAAUGUGCAAAUAUAGUAACACAAAUAUGCUUUUAUCAUUUAAACACAAGGGUUGUAAAACAUUCAAGAAAUAGGAUAGGCAAAUAUUAAUUCCCAAAGAAAGCCUCAAGAAUUAAAAGGAUUAUCAGUUUUUACAAGGUCUAGUGAAUCAAACAACUUAUGAAUCAAUAAACAUAUAGUUCUUCAUAAGCUUAUGUGGAAAAGGUUGCAUACAUUAUUAUGGUUCCAAACAAAUGGUAAAACAGGAAAAUAACAAAAAAAUGACACAGCACAGGUUGCAGAAGCAAAUAUUUUGGAGCAUUAUUUCAAUAGCCCAAUGAAGGUGAUCAUGCUGACUACGAUCGUAACAUGGACUAGAAAUUUAUAGUAUAGAUCCCUAUAUCUCUACCAAUAUGGACCUAGGAAAACUGCAAUGUAUUGAAAGGCUACUGAUUUUAGAUCUUAAAUUGAAUAUACCGAAUUAGAGUACCAACAUUAGAACUUCUCAUCUCUGAUCCAACAUCCAUAUCAAGUAUUUGCUAGCAAUUGCAAAAAAAAAGCAUCAAGCCAUCAACCAUUCAGAUCUCCAAGACUAACAGAUCCUCCAAGAUCUCCAAUAUAACAAUAAGACCAUAAUGCAUCAAACUGUCAGAACUCUAUGCCAAUGGCCUCUUGCGCUUCAAAUGUAAUGGUAUUAACUACCAAUACAGCUUCAUUAGUGUAAUCCAGAACAGUCGAGCAAGCUAGAUGUCCAUGUUACACUCUAUUAGUCACUCAAUCCCUAAACUUGUUCCUUCUCACCAAUCAAUUUUAGUGCUUAAAGUGGCAAUUUACUAUGACUUCAACAUACAAUCAAAGUUCCUCAAAUAACAAAUGCAUUUAUCUAGACACAAAUCUCGUAUUUUAAAUGAAAAUGAAACUUGAUAAAGUAAUUUUUUGUAUUAUCAAAUCAAUUUUUAAAGUAGAGAUCACUUACUUUAAGCAUAUAAAAUCCUUCACUCCGCUAAAAGACCCUGUUCUUCUCUUUUGCUCUCAUUUAACAUGGAUGGGCAUUCAAUGGCGGAGAUGAUAAAGUGCGACUGAAGUAAGAACACUAAGGAGGCAAGCAGAUUGUGGGAAAAACAAAAGGAAAAGUUUCAAGAGAGGCUGUAUCUAUGGUAAGCUGAGUUCCAUCAAUUGACUCAUGAGAAUUUAAAUCUACAAGGAUUUGGCUUAGGUUUCCAUAUUAGAAUGUGUUUCUACUUUUUAAAAUUUAAGGCAGCAGCAAUUUUGGUUAUCCUGGAUCCAACAAUCGAGAAUUUCGAUUUUUGGAAGCUAAUGGGAUAGGGGUUCGAUUAACUUCUCAAGUUCUGAAAUAUGAGGAUGUAUUGUAUUUGUAGAAACAUAAGCUUGGGUGGCAGUUUUUUUUUUCAUGGGAGAGAUAACUAUGGAAGAGUUUGUGCAGUUAUAGAAAGUAUAUAAUGAAAAUUUUCCAGCCAGCACCCCCUUCCACCGGCCAUCAAAUCUUCCUAUGUUGGUAAGUGGCAUGGCUUGUCAAAUCACGAGCCAUCAAUCAAGGGGGGCAAUUUAUAACCCGACCCACAAACUGACCUGCAACAGUCCCAAUUUAAGCAAGUUCAAGUUUGCUAUCAAGCAUAAAUGGGACCAAGCUGUAAGCAAGUAGACCUGACCUAACCAUUUAUUAAGUGUGUCAGGUUCAGGUUUAGAGUCUUGACCCAUUUAACCAAUUUUGACCUAUUUAAUAGCUGUGCCAAGUUGUGAUUUGACCCAUUUAAGACUCAUUUAACCCAUUAAAGGCUUGUUUAACCAACCUAAAACCCAUUUAACCUAAU
rnacentral:lncRNA from 1 species